GACGAACGCUGGCGGCGUGCUUAACACAUGCAAGUCGAGCGGAAAGGCCACUUCGGUGGUACUCGAGCGGCGAACGGGUGAGUAACACGUGAGUAAUCUGCCCCUGGCUUUGGGAUAGCCACCGGAAACGGUGAUUAAUACCGGAUACGACCACUUCUCGCAUGGGAUGGUGGUGGAAAGUUUUUUCGGCCAGGGAUGUGCUCGCGGCCUAUCAGCUUGAUGGUGAGGUAAUGGCUCACCAUGGCUUCGACGGGUAGCCGGCCUGAGAGGGUGACCGGUCACACUGGGACUGAGACACGGCCCAGACUCCUACGGGAGGCAGUAGUGGGGAAUAUUGGACAAUGGGCGGAAGCCUGAUCCAGCAACGCCGCGUGAGGGAUGACGGCCUUCGGGUUGUAAACCUCUUUCGGCAGGGACGAAGCGCAAGUGACGGUACCUGCAGAAGAAGCACCGGCCAACUACGUGCCAGCCGCCGCGGUAA
rnacentral:rRNA from 1 species